CUAAAGGGAAUCUUAGAAAGCUUUAUUAAAUAAUACAGAUACAACUCAUAUUAUUUACAUCCAAAUUGUCAAGUAGUACUAGCGUGUAAGGCACAACUUCUCCAAAACCAGCCAGUAAGUUACACAAGACUCAAUAUAAUAACAUUUAACAAUGUUGAGUUUUGUAAUACUGUGUGAAACCAAAACUGUAUGCCAUGAACGUCUGCAUUCCACUCCUCCAACUAUUUGCCCGCACAGUUCUGCACAUAAUGUAUUUUGCAUAAGCUAUUUUGUUAUUUGAAGUAGGGCAAUUGCCAUCACUGUCAUUAUGGUCCUUAGGAGAGACACCCAGAAUAUUCACAAUUCAAACUGUGAUACUUGUUAUAUGUAAACAAAGUCCUUAGCUGCAAAAUCCUCUUUAUGGAUUAAAAAUUACUGGGAUUAAUAUUAGAAUCCUCAGAAUAACAAUCCUACUGCAAUACUUUUUGUUUUUCUUUUUUCCCCUAUUCUCAGGGAAGUACCUUAGGACUAAGAACUGGAACCAGUCUUUCCAAAUUAAUUUUACACAUAAGAAAAAAGUUCAAGUCAGCAUUCUUCACUGCCAUCUUGUUUAGAAAGCAAAAUACACUUGAGCACACAGUGGUAACUGCCUGGGUGAGCAGAGUACUUUCUGGUGUGCCCAGAAUUGUGCAUUUUAUGUCUGUCUGUCAAGAAGAAAACCAAAAAGUCAACCAAAAGACCCCCACUUUAAUACUUAAGCGAUUAAAUCUUACACUGUAUUUUACAGACUUACAAACGAGCACUUAUUAGUACACUAUUAUGGUACAACUAUUCCAAAGUCUGGUCAUCCCAGUAAUGCCUUACUGGGCAGCUGAAAGGAAGAUUCUGGGUGCAGCUGUAUCUGUUUGUACAUGAAUACACCUGAGAGGAGCAGACGGAACCAGCUGAAGAGGUCACUCAUUCCAAGUGUGAAACAAGCCACUUUCCAGUGCACCAGGCGACUAGUGGUAAUAAAAGGCGGCUCAGUUUCUACAGAGGUACUUUUAUGUGUGAAACGACCUACAUAAAUGUAUUCUAUUUCUAUCAGAACACAGUUAAGAUAACUGCCUUCAACUAUUUACUACCAGAAGAAAGGUCCUUUUCGAAGGCACAUGCUUUCACAUUCCAGUCCAAAAAAAGUGCUUACAGUAACAAGAUAGGAAUACUGCAGUUGUACCCAAAGGAAGCCGCACUAAGAGAGUUUUGGUUUUCUUGGUUUUUGUUGUUGUAAAAACAGCUCCAAAUUAUUCACAGUUGUUCCAGCAUUCCUAAUGUUAAACCAGCACAUUAUGGUGAUGAAUCACAUUGUAAGGCUAAAUGUGAGAACACUUAUCAGUGCAGUACAUUCCUGAGUCUUUGGAACUCAAAAUAAAAACUAGUUCUUUGAAAUAUACAAUCCCUUCAUAGUUUUGACUCAUAUGUGACCUGUUUUUCUAUUUCUCUUUUUUUAAAAAAAACUUCACUAAAAAGGUAAUUUUUACAAAAAAAUAACAUUUUUUAUCACUAUCACUUAGACAUAACCUCCAGUUGCUUGAAGAGUGCAAAAAAGCUUAGCAUAAACUUGGCUUCUGCCCAGCCAGCCUUGUCAUCUAAGCGUAAAACAGCAGGUAAAGGAAGUUCCAAAGAACUGAACACUGACAAAAAAAAAAGGAAAAACUUCAAAGAGCUCUAAAUACAUAUCAAAAAAAAAAAAAAAAAAAA
ensembl:lncRNA